GCCUCGGUAGCGCAGUGAGCAGCGCGUCAGUCUCAUAAUCACUCCAGCGAGUAAUCUGAAGGUCGUGAGUUCGAUCCUCACCCGGGCA
rnacentral:tRNA from 13 species